rnacentral:rRNA from 1 species
UACGAAGGGGGCUAGCGUUGCUCGGAAUCACUGGGCGUAAAGGGUGCGUAGGCGGGUCUUUAAGUCAGGGGUGAAAUCCUGGAGCUCAACUCCAGAACUGCCCUUGAUACUGGCGAUCUCGAGUUCGGGAGAGGUGAGUGGAACUGCGAGUGUAGAGGUGAAAUUCGUAGAUAUUCGCAAGAACACCAGUGGCGAAGGCGGCUCACUGGCCCGAUACUGACGCUGAGGCACGAAAGCGUGGGGAGCAAACAGG